rnacentral:tRNA from 1 species
GAAUCGGUGGUUCAGUGGUAGAAUGCUCGCCUGCUACGCGGGCGGCCCGGGUUCGAUUCCCGGUCGAUGCC